GACGAACGCUGGCGGCGUGCUUAACACAUGCAAGUCGAACGGAGAAUUUAUUUCGGUAAAUUCUUAGUGGCGAACGGGUGAGUAACGCGUAGGCAACCUGCCCUUUGGAUGGGGACAACAUUCCGAAAGGAGUGCUAAUACCGAAUGUGAUCCAUUUCUCGCAUGAGAGAUGGAUGAAAGAUGGCCUCUAUUUAUAAGCUAUCGCCAAAGGAUGGGCCUGCGUCUGAUUAGUUAGUUGGUGGGUAACGGCUCACCAAGACGAUGAUCAGUAGCCGGUCUGAGAGGAUGAACGGCCACAUUGGGACUGAGACACGGCCCAAAACUCCUACGGGAGGCAGCAAGUGGGGAAUCUUCCGCAAUGGACGAAAGUCUGACGGAGCAACGCCGCGUGAGUGAUGAAGGUUUUCGGACUGUAAAACUCUGUUGUCUAGGGACGAAGGUGCGAUCUGCGAAUAGUUGAUCGUAAUUGACGGUACCUGACGAGGAAGCCACGGCUAAACG
rnacentral:rRNA from 1 species